rnacentral:rRNA from 1 species
UACGUAGGGUGCGAGCGUUGUCCGGAAUUACUGGGCGUAAAGAGCUCGUAGGUGGUUUGUCGCGUUGUCCGUGAAAACUCACAACUCAAUUGUGGGCGUGCGGGCGAUACGGGCAGACUGGAGUACUGCAGGGGAGACUGGAAUUCCUGGUGUAGCGGUGGAAUGCGCAGAUAUCAGGAGGAACACCGGUGGCGAAGGCGGAUCUCUGGCCUGUCCUGACGCUCGAGGCGCGAAAGCUAGGGAGCAAACAGG